AAAUUCCCUACAAAUCCCCACCUAUCCCUGCCCCGCAGGGGUGAGAAUGGCCAAAAACCAGAGUGGGUGGGUGGUGUUGUAAAAACCAGACUGGACUGGCCAGUUCAGCCCUCAUUAGUAAGAAUGGUAUGUACGAAAGCCAGUGGAAAAAUCAGUCAACUGGCUGGUCCAACUGGAAACUGGUGAACCGGCCGUGGCUUUACUGGUUUCUCAGUUUGUCUUUUCUGAAGAAAAAAGAUGUCAAAUAGACUGGAGAUGGAGGACGAUGAGCAAGCAGUGACUGCUACUUUUUACUGUGAAGAGAGAAAUGGAAGGGGUGAAGAGAUUAAGGGGAACAGACAAGUAUUGAGAAGAUAGUAAAGCAGCCAUUAAAGUUCUAAGCCUUCAGAUUGGGAUUGGGUUUGAAUGAGAGGAGAGAUGUAUGUGGCACGGACACUCAACUAGGGUAGUGUGUUGGUGUCGGAUGUCGACACUCCUCGGACAUUCUAC
rnacentral:lncRNA from 1 species